CAAUAGCGUAUAUUAAAGUUGUUGCAGUUAAAAAGCUCGUAGUUGGACUUCUGAUGUGGGACUGCGCCCCGGUAUUUUGCCGUUGGGUGCGGGCUCGCGUCUUCCUCUCGUAGUUGGAUGGUGCACUUAACUGGGUGCCUUCUGAAUAUGGGACCUUUACUUUGAAAAAUUAGAGUGUUUAAAGCAGGCUAUUGCCUUGAAUACAUUAGCAUGGAAUAAUAAUCUAGGACUUCGGUUCUAUUUUGUUGGUUUCUAGUACUGAAGUAAUGAUUGAUAGGGAUAGUUGGGGGUGGCUAGUAUUGACCGGCCAGAGGUGAAAUUCUUGGAUUCGGUCAAGACUAACUUAUGCGAAAGCAUUCACCAAGGAUGUCUUCUUUAAUCAAGAACGAAAGUUGGGGGAUCGAAGACGAUUAGAUACCAU
rnacentral:rRNA from 1 species